rnacentral:rRNA from 2 species
AAUCAAGUGCCUUAAGGGUGUUCGGUGGAUGCCUUGGCGCUGAGAGGCGAUGAAGGACGUGCUACGCUGCGAUAAGCCGUGGGGAGCUGCGAAGAAGCUUUGAUCCAUGGAUUUCCGAAUGGGGAAACCCACCUUCGAUAGCCGGAACUCCAAGACCUCAGUCGAAAGACUGUGGUGUGGGGUUCGAUCAGAAAUGAGAGAUGCCUAGGCCUUUAGAUUUCGAUCGAGAGGUUUUGGAUUUCCGGUUAUCAAGAGAAGGUAUGAGACUUCUGAAUACAUAGGAGGUUUCAAGCAAACCCAGGGAACUGAAACAUCUAAGUACCUGGAGGAAAGGACAUCAACAGAGACUCCGUUAGUAGUGGCGAGCGAACGCGGACCAGGCC